AACGAACGCUGGCGGCAUGCCUAACACAUGCAAGUCGAACGAGAUCUUCGGGUCUAGUGGCGCACGGGUGCGUAACGCGUGGGAAUCUGCCCUUUGGUUCGGAAUAACAGUUGGAAACGACUGCUAAUACCGGAUGAUGACGAAAGUCCAAAGAUUUAUCGCCAGAGGAUGAGCCCGCGUAGGAUUAGCUAGUUGGUGUGGUAAAGGCGCACCAAGGCGACGAUCCUUAGCUGGUCUGAGAGGAUGAUCAGCCACACUGGGACUGAGACACGGCCCAGACUCCAACGGGAGGCAGCAGUGGGGAAUAUUGGACAAUGGGCGAAAGCUUGAUCCAGCAAUGCCGCGUGAGUGAUGAAGGCCUUAGGGUUGUAAAGCUCUUUUACCCGGGAUGAUAAUGACAGUACCGGGAGAAUAAGCUCCGGCUAACUCCGUGCCAGCCGCCGCGGUAACAC
rnacentral:rRNA from 1 species